UUUUCAAAGGUGGAAACUGAGACCCAGAGAGCCGUGACUUGACUGAUCCCACAGCCAGGAAAUGGUGGAGCCUGGAUUUGAACCCCAGCUUUUAAGAAGAAGGUGCCACUGUCCUGGAAGAACUCUCAGGACAGCAUUAGUGUCUCAGGGAUCCCCCUAAUCGGAGGGGCCUUAAGGCAAUUUCAGCCUAAUCAUGAUUGUCACUGAAGAUCCAGGAGGGCUUCCUGGAGGAGGAGGCAGCUCCAUUCUGAAAUGCCAAGGGUACAGCUUUAUUGGGACAGCCAGUGUCUCUGAAUAUGUAGGUUUUGCACAGAGCUUGUACUGCCCCAGGGCCUGUACACUGCCUGUCCCCUCUGCCUUGUGCACUCUUUCCCUAGAUGUCCAAAUGGCUCCUUUCCUCACCUACCCCAAAUCUCAAUUCCAGUGUUUCCCCAGCCUCCCCUCAUUUCAGUAAUCACUCUGCAGUGAGCUAGGAUUGCGCCACUGCACUCCAGCUUGGAUAAGAGAACAAGACCCUGUCUCUUAACUAAAUACAUAAAUAAAAAUAAUUCCCCUCUUC
rnacentral:lncRNA from 10 species